UCCAUAAGCAACGCGUACAAAAUACAUAAAAUAUACAAGUUUAAUUAUAACUGUUUUAAUACUGUUUUAUGUUAAUAAAUAUUGAGGAGCCGGAUAAACAAAAAGUUCUAUGCCAACUUUUCUGCGGUAGAAUCUUGGUCUUCGACAGUUAAUGGCGCGACAAUUGUCAAACACCAUUUACCGAUGUCACUAUGUAAGAUAAUCAAUUUACGGCUAUCGGCAACGUGCUUAAAAACUUUAUUCUUAGCAAAACCAUCGCCAGUCGGAUCGAGCAACCAUGGAUAAUUGUUAGGACAUUCCAUGCAAGUGAAAAGACGCAGAGUCUCGCCUGGAAGUUCUCUAGUUGUUAAUGGACAAGCGUUUGGCAAUGAACAGUAGGGUUGACCUUUCUCGUCACAAGUUUCCUUCCAAUCCUGGAAGUCUCUCAAUGCUGAUAGUUCGGUCGGUGUUUGCAUCCAUUUGAUGA